GGGGGUAUAGCUCAAGUGGUAGAGUGCAUGCUUAGCAUGCAUGAGGUCCUGGGUUCAAUCCCCAGUACCUCCU
rnacentral:tRNA from 1 species